rnacentral:tRNA from 1 species
GCUCUGGUGGUGCAGUGGUUAAGCACUCGGCUGCCAACCGAAAGGUUGAUGGUUCAAACCCAUCAGCU